GACAGAGGUGCCGAGCGUUAGGCGGAAUCACUGGGCUUAAAGCGUGUGUAGGCGGACGGGUAAGUACCUUGUGAAAUCCCACGGCUCAACCGUGGAACUGCUGGGUAUACUGCCUGUCUUGAGCCAGCUAGGGGCGAGCGGAACAGACGGUGGAGCGGUGAAAUGCGUAAAUAUCGUCUGGAACGCCGAAGGUGAAAACAGCUCGCUGGGGCUGCGCUGACGCUGAGACACGAAAGCCAGGGGAGCGAACGGG
rnacentral:rRNA from 1 species